rnacentral:rRNA from 1 species
UACGGAAGGGACAAGUGUUACUCGGAAUUACUGGGCAUAAAGGGCUUUUAGGUUGUUUUUAAAGUUAAAAAUGAAAGCUUGAUAAUAGUUAUUAAAAGUAUUUUUAAUACUUAAAAACUGGAGUAAAACUGAAGAUAGUAGAAUUCCUAAAGUAGAGGUGGAAUUUUAAGAGAUUAGGAGGACUAUCAAUAGGCGAAGGCAACUAUCUAAGUUUUCACUGACACUGAAAAGCGAAAGCAUGGGGAGCAAAUAGG